AGUCGAGCGAACGGACGAGAAGCUUGCUUCUCUGAUGUUAGCGGCGGACGGGUGAGUAACACGUGGAUAACCUACCUAUAAGACUGGGAUAACUUCGGGAAACCGGAGCUAAUACCGGAUAAUAUUUUGAACCGCAUGGUUCAAAAGUGAAAGACGGUCUUGCUGUCACUUAUAGAUGGAUCCGCGCUGCAUUAGCUAGUUGGUAAGGUAACGGCUUACCAAGGCAACGAUGCAUAGCCGACCUGAGAGGGUGAUCGGCCACACUGGAACUGAGACACGGUCCAGACUCCUACGGGAGGCAGCAGUAGGGAAUCUUCCGCAAUGGGCGAAAGCCUGACGGAGCAACGCCGCGUGAGUGAUGAAGGUCUUCGGAUCGUAAAACUCUGUUAUUAGGGAAGAACAUAUGUGUAAGUAACUGUGCACAUCUUGACGGUACCUAAUCAGAAAGCCACGGCUAACUACGUGCCAGCAGCCGCGGUAAUACGUAGGUGGCAAGCGUUAUCCGGAAUUAUUGGGCGUAAAGCGCGCGUAGGCGGUUUUUUAAGUCUGAUGUGAAAGCCCACGGCUCAACCGUGGAGGGUCAUUGGAAACUGGAAAACUUGAGUGCAGAAGAGGAAAGUGGAAUUCCAUGUGUAGCGGUGAAAUGCGCAGAGAUAUGGAGGAACACCAGUGGCGAAGGCGACUUUCUGGUCUGUAACUGACGCUGAUGUGCGAAAGCGUGGGGAUCAAACAGGAUUAGAUACCCUGGUAGUCCACGCCGUAAACGAUGAGUGCUAAGUGUUAGGGGGUUUCCGCCCCUUAGUGCUGCAGCUAACGCAUUAAGCACUCCGCCUGGGGAGUACGACCGCAAGGUUGAAACUCAAAGGAAUUGACGGGGACCCGCACAAGCGGUGGAGCAUGUGGUUUAAUUCGAAGCAACGCGAAGAACCUUACCAAAUCUUGACAUCCUUUGACAACUCUAGAGAUAGAGCCUUCCCCUUCGGGGGACAAAGUGACAGGUGGUGCAUGGUUGUCGUCAGCUCGUGUCGUGAGAUGUUGGGUUAAGUCCCGCAACGAGCGCAACCCUUAAGCUUAGUUGCCAUCAUUAAGUUGGGCACUCUAAGUUGACUGCCGGUGACAAACCGGAGGAAGGUGGGGAUGACGUCAAAUCAUCAUGCCCCUUAUGAUUUGGGCUACACACGUGCUACAAUGGACAAUACAAAGGGCAGCGAAACCGCGAGGUCAAGCAAAUCCCAUAAAGUUGUUCUCAGUUCGGAUUGUAGUCUGCAACUCGACUACAUGAAGCUGGAAUCGCUAGUAAUCGUAGAUCAGCAUGCUACGGUGAAUACGUUCCCGGGUCUUGUACACACCGCCCGUCACACCACGAGAGUUUGUAACACCCGAAGCCGGUGGAGUAACCUUUUAGGAGCUAGCCGUCGAAGGUGGGACAAAUGAUUGGGGUGAAGUCGUAACAAGGUAGCCGUAUCGGAAGGUGCGGCUGGAUCACCUCCUUU
rnacentral:rRNA from 1 species